rnacentral:rRNA from 1 species
UGCGCAGGCGGGGCAAUAAGUCAGUGGUGAAAUCCUGCGGCUUAACCGUAGAACUGCCAUUGAUACUGUUGCCCUUGAGUAUAGUUGAGGUGGGCGGAAUAUGUAAUGUAGCGGUGAAAUGCAUAGAUAUUACAUAGAACACCGAUUGCGAAGGCAGCUCACUAAACUAUCACUGACGCCGAGGCACGAAAGCGUGGGGAGCGAACAGGAUUAGAUACCCUGGUAGUCC